CCUACGGGAGGCAGCAGUGGGGAAUAUUGGACAAUGGGCGCAAGCCUGAUCCAGCAAUGCCGCGUGUGUGAAGAAGGCCUGCGGGUUGUAAAGCACUUUCAGUGGGGAGGAAGGCCUCAGUAUUAAUACUGCCGAGGAUUGACGUUACCCACAGAAGAAGCACCGGCUAACUCUGUGCCAGCAGCCGCGGUAAU
rnacentral:rRNA from 1 species